GUUCUUAUCUAGAAUCCCACAUUGCCUUUAGUAGUCAUGUCUCCUUAAGCACCCUCAAACUGUGAUGACUUUUUAGUUUUUAACUGUCUUCAGUGACCUUGAAUUUGAAAAGUAUAGGCCACUUAUUUUAUAGACUAUCUUUCAAUUUGGAUUUGUCUAAUUUUUUUCUCAUGAUUAGAUACAGGUUACAUAUAAUCAGGAAUAAUGUCACAGAUGUGAUGUCUCCUAUACAGUGCAUCUUAAAGGGCACAUGAUGUCAAUAUCUCUUAUUACUGUCAAUUUUAAACCUUGAUCUCUUGAUCAAGUGGAGUCUGCUGAGUUUCUGCACUAUAAAAAAUUCUACAAAACCAAGUGAAACAGAAGAAAAAGAACAAUAUAUGCCUUCAAUAUACAACAAACACCAUUUUUGUACAGAGACAACAGUGAUAUUCUGUAAAGAAGAUAAUUAUUUUUUAUUUUAGUGAGAGAGUGAUAAUUGUUUGCUUUUUGUUUUGUUUUCUGUUUUAGCAUUUUAAAAUCCAGACAUAAACUUCCUUGGAUCAUUGUAUUGAAAGAAUAAAUCACCAUGUAAAAUAUUAACCAAAAAGGGUGAUCAAAAGUGUUGAUCAUAUUGUUUCAGGGCAGUUGGUAGCUGGUGGAGGAAGAGGCACAUUAAAUUUGCCUACUACAUUUUAAGAAGAAUGCUUUCUAAAGUGUGCCAGUCAAAAGUAAGCAUGUUUCCAGGAUUUGAAAAUAGAAGAGAAUCAAAAGGUCUCUGAAACAUAAAUCUGAUAGAUGUUGGUAAGUGAUACCAAUGAAGAAAAAAGAGUGGAUCUGAUAUAUUAAAAAUCAUCAGUAAGGUGGCUCUAGUAGGACCAAAUUUAAUAAAAAUCAAGAAAAAGUAAAUGGAGAAAAAGGCACAUAAUUUAGGAUGAAUAUGGGAGAGGCACAGAUGUCUCAGAAUAGUUUCUAGAAAUAGAAAUCCUAGAAUAACCUGAGGCUUGUGAGAAAAGGUAAAGGCAAGAAAACGUAUCUUUUCCCUUAUGUUUGGAUGUGCAAGAAAAGGAAGAGAGAGAGCCAUUGCUUAGCAC
rnacentral:lncRNA from 1 species